AUACGUAGGGUGCGAGCGUUGUCCGGAAUUACUGGGCGUAAAGAGCUCGUAGGUGGUUUGUCGCGUCGUCUGUGAAAUUCCGGGGCUUAACUCCGGGCGUGCAGGCGAUACGGGCAUAACUUGAGUACUGUAGGGGAGACUGGAAUUCCUGGUGUAGCGGUGAAAUGCGCAGAUAGCAGGAGGAACACCGGUGGCGAAGGCGGGGCUCUGGGCAGGAACUGACGCUGGGGAGCGAAAGCAUGGGUAGCGAACAGGAUUAGAUACCCUGGUAGUCCAUGCCGUAAACGGUGGGCGCUAGUUGUAGGGGUCUUCCACGACUUCUGUGCCGUAGCUAACGCAUUAAGCUCCCCGCCUGGGGAGUACGGCCGCAAGGCUAAAACUCAAAUGAAUUGACGGGG
rnacentral:rRNA from 1 species